AUGUUAUAUUCAUGCCCCAAUCAUGAGCUCCCAAGAGAAAUAAUUAUUCAAAGUUUUUAUGCUCGGCUUUCUGAUAACAAUCGCACCAUGCUCGAUACUUCUUGUGCUGGCUCUUUUAUGAUAAAGACUAUUGAAUUCAAAUGGAACUUAUUGGAAAGAAUUAAACACAACUCUGAAGAUUGGGAUCUCGACGAAGGUAAGGAGUCAGGUAUGACACCUAAGUUUGAUUGUGUUAAAUCUUUUAUGGAUACCGAUGUUUUCCAUAAAUUUAGCACUAAAUAUGGACUUGACUCUGAGAUAGUAGCUUCUUUCUGUGAAUCUUUUGCUGCUCACGUUGAUCUCCCUAACGAGAAGUGGUUUAAAUAUCAUCCUCCCAUAGAAGUAAAAGUAGCUGCACCUAUUAAAGUUGAAGAAAAGACUAUCACUUAUAAUGAUCCUAUUGUUCCUACUGCUUAUGUUGAGAAACCACCUUUCCCUGUUAGAAUAAAGGAUCAUGCUAAAGCUUCAACUGUGGUUCGUAAAAGCAAUAUUAGAACCUAUACACCUCCUGAGCAAGUUAAAGUUGAACAUAAUAUUGCUAUUGUUAAAGAUCUCUUGGCUGAUAAUAUUGAUGGGCAUGUUAUUUAUUUCCGUGAAGAGACUGCUAGAAUUGCUAAACCUUGUGCUAAAUAUAAACAUAGACCUAUGGUAGGCAUGCCUGUUAUUUCUGUUAAAAUAGGAGAUCAUUGUUAUCAUGGCUUAUGUGACAUGGGUGCUAGUGCUAGUGCAAUACCUAUUGACUUAUAUAAAGAAAUUAUGCAUGAUAUUGCACCUACUGAGUUAGAAGAUAUUGAUGUCACAAUUAAACUUGCCAAUAGGGAUACUAUUUCACCCAUGGGAAUUAUUAGAGAUGUUGAAGUCUUGUGUGGGAAAACUAAAUAUCCUGCUGAUUUUCUCGUUCUUGGUUCCCCACAAGAUAGCUUUUGUCCCAUUAUAUUUGGUAGAGCCUUCUUGAACACUGUUAAUGCUAAGAUAGACUGUGAAAAGGAUGUUGUUACUAUUGGUUUGGGUGAUAUGUCUCAUGAGUUUAAUUUCUCUAAAUUUAGUAGACAACACCGUGAAGAAGAAUUGCCUAGUAAGGAUGAAAUUACUGGUCUUGCUUCUAUUGCCGUACCUCCUAGUGAUCCUUUAGAACAAUAUUUGCUAGACCAUGAAAAUGAUAUGUUUAUGAAUGAAAGAAGGGAAAUAGAUGAAUUAUUCUUUAAAUAG
rnacentral:rRNA from 1 species